GGUCAGUUAUUUUAAUUCAAUCUUGGGCACAUUUGUUGGUAGAUUUAGAUUUGUUUGUUCGGACGGACAAUGUUGACGCUAAAAUGUCAAUUUUCCAGUGAACUGCCUGGUUCUCCUAAUUUGAAAAUCUGUCGUGCAUCAUUUAAUUUAGUUUAAGUGAAUCCAGUAUGAUAACAGGAAAAAUAAAACCACCUGGAAAGCAUGACCCCACAAAUUCCUCAUCUGUAUUUAUAUCUUUGGAAAAAUGCAAGAAAAAUACAAAUGGUGAUCCCUUUUCCACACCUCACUGGCUGCAGUUUCUCUCUUGUGUUUCUGAAAAAUUUGUUUUAGGUGAAUAGAAAGACUGGGCCUGUCUCCAGCUCCACCUUAAGAUGGAGGACCCUUGUAGAUGUAGAAAAAUUACUUCAACAGAUUACGGAUGACUCCACAAAGUUGACUGACUGUCAGAUAACAGAGGGUGACCUUGGACAUGUCAGUGGAGAGUUUUUUGAAAAAGGUUUAAAUUGCUUUGACUGGGAAACGUAUGAUGUCAGAAUGCUCAAAUCAUGUGGCGCAACAGCGCUUGAAUAAGUCGCUGUCAUGCAGCACGUCAGAUUUGCAGGAAGAAGAGGAAAUUCGACCCAAGAGAAAGCCAAAGGCGAUUCAUUUGUUUGGAGAUUCGGAUGAUGACACUGGGGAAGAAGAUCAUCAAAGAAAGAGAGCCAGGGGUCGACCCAAACCCCCACCACAGCCACCAGCUCCUGCUGUCCCACCACCACCUUUCCAUGUGCCAAGUAGUAGCACAGUUGUCCCUCCUCCACCCACUCCACCGCUGCAGACAGAAUGUAGAAGACCAACAGAACAGCAAACCCCUUCUGCAAGCCGGGUGCCCACACCCAACUGGCCAGGGGGAAGAUAUGACACAAGCACCAUUCCUGCUCUGCUGCCGAAGUCCAAAUUAUAAGCUUACUGGAGUAUAUAAAACACCAGCAAGAGCAGCUAGUUGAAUUAUCUAACCAGCAGGCUAAACUCAACUGGCCAGGAAAUGCCUGUCCCAGUACAGUUUCCAUUGGCAUCAAUGGAGGAAGUGGAACGUUUUGAGGAAUGGCUCAAAGAUCCUGCACAUUCUCAACUGAAGCAGAGUUUGAUUCUGUAAGAAAGCAUGCAAUGUCCCGUGCUUCUACUGAGCAUGACGUCUAUAAGCAUGCAAUCCGCUGGUUCAGCCUGGCAGCAGAUAGGGGAAGCUUGAGAUGUUGCAGUACACAGGAAGUUCAACCUGCUGACUACAACGCAUCUAACUGACAUGCAUCACAGAGCGUUAUGCCAGUUCUGGUUAAUUUUUCAUUGUUUGUAUAAUUAGUAAGUGUGAGUAUUGUGUUAAUUUCUUUCUGCACUGUUGUUGAAUUUGCAGGUUACCUAAUUCAUUUACUUUUUGACUGAUGUACUGUUUUGAUUCCUGUGACCAAAUAUAUUUAUAUAUUUUCAUCA